CCUACGGGGGGCAGCAGUGGGGAAUAUUGCUCAAUGGGCGCAAGCCUGAACCAGCCAAGCAGCGUGUAGGAUGACGGCCCUACGAGUUUUAAACUCUUUUUAUAAAGGGAUAAAGUGAGGCACUUGUGCCUUUUUGUAUUUACUUUAUGAAUAAGGGUCGGCUAACUCCGUGCCAGCAGCCGCGGUAAGACGGGGGAUCCGAGCGCUAUCCGGAUUUAUUGGGUUUAAAGGGAACGGAGAUGGGUUGGUAAGUCAGUUGUGAAAGUGUGCGGCUCAACCGUAAAAUUGCAAUUGAAACUGGCAGGCUUGAGUACAGUUGAGGGAGGUGGAAUUCGUGGUGUAGCGGUGAAAUGCGUAGAUAUCACGAAGAACUCCGAUUGCGAAGGCAGCCUACUAAACAGCGACUGACAUUGAGGCUCGAAAGUGUGGGUAUCAAACAGGAUUAGAUACCCGAGUAGUC
rnacentral:rRNA from 1 species